rnacentral:lncRNA from 1 species
AUUUUAUCACACGUGUUCACAAGCACAUUCAGCAAUAUGUGUAUAAAUGUAUGUGGCCGAGCAGUAUAACGAAAUAGUAAUAAUUUAUUGUUGUGUCUUAGAAUAAUUUACAAAAAGGAAUCGGUUUUAGGCGGAUUCGACUCUUUACUGUUCUAAGGAGCCGAUUCAUAGAACCGAGCCGACUCGAUUCGACCUUCACCAGGCAAGCAACGGCUCUUCUAAUUUGAAAUCCACCUGUCGCCUUUUCCUCCAGUGAAUUCAUCCUCGGUAAGUGUUUAAAAGUCAAAUUCUGUUCGUUAAAGGAUUGUUUUGUGUAUAUUUCCGUGUAGUGUGUGUGUAAUUUAAAAUAAUUAACCAAGUUACUUCAGUUGUAGGUUCUUAUGUCACGUUAUUCGACGCCAGACCGUGUUUGUAGUGUUUGCGAGGUAUUAGAUAACGUUAAGUGAGUUUAUCUUAAGUGAGUUUUUGACCAUAGUAACGUUACCUGAAAAAAAAAACUUUUACUUGGGGUUAACUACAUUAAUGAAUUCUGUAUUUCAGCACAACACUGAGAUGAAGGCAAAGUCACCAUGAAAAGUUAAACGUUUAACGUUAAGCUACAGCAAUUGAUGUUGAAAAACUGAUGCUACCAAUCUCUCCUCACUUGAUUAUUCAAGUAGCGACGCAGUGGCACAGUAGGUAGUGCUGUCGCUUCACAGCAAGAAGGUUGCUGGUUCAAGCCUCGACUGGGUCAGUUGGCUGAAUACAAUGGCAUAAUGAUUCUGCUUGCUCACAGGAGCUCAGAUUGUGAUGAACCUGGAAUGCGACACCAGUUACUCUUAAGUCAAGAACCAAAUAAAGCACAGAUGUGGAGGGAUCUACAACUAAACUAA